UACAGAGGGGGCAAGCGUUAUUCGGAAUUAUUGGGCGUAAAGGGCGCGUAGGCGGCUUUUCAAGUGACGGGUGAAAUCCCUCGGCUUAACCGAGGAACUGCCUGUCAGACUGGAAGGCUUGAGACCGGGAGAGGUGAGUGGAAUUCCCAGUGUAGCGGUGAAAUGCGUAGAUAUCAGGAGGAACACCGGUGGCGAAGGCGGCCCUCUGGACGGUGACUGACGCUGAGACGCGAAAGCGUGGGGAGCGAACAGG
rnacentral:rRNA from 1 species